rnacentral:rRNA from 1 species
CUACGGGUGGCUGCAGUGGGGAAUAUUGCACAAUGGGCGCAAGCCUGAUGCAGCCAUGCCGCGUGUAUGAAGAAGGCCUUCGGGUUGUAAAGUACUUUCAGCGGGGAGGAAGGGAGUAAAGUUAAUACCUUUGCUCAUUGACGUUACCCGAAGAAGAAGCACCGGCUAACUCCGUGCCAGCAGCCGCGGUAAUACGGAGGGUGCAAGCGUUAAUCGGAAUUACUGGGCGUAAAGCGCACGCAGGCGGUUUGUUAAGUCAGAUGUGAAAUCCCCGGGCUCAACCUGGGAACUGCAUCCGUACUGGCAAGCUUGAGUGUCGUAGAGGGGGGUAGAAUUCCAGGUGUAGCGGUGAAAUGCGUAGAGAUCUGGAGGAAUACCGGUGGCGAAGGCAGCCCCCUGGACGAAGACUGACGCUCAGGUGCGAAAGCGUGGGGAGCAAACAGGAUUAGAUACCCCCGUAGUC